GAGAACAUUGAAAAGAUGAGUUGCUUCUCACCUACUAAAGUGAGACAAGGAAUUUCAGAAGAUCUUCUUGGAGGACUUGAUAUUUAUCCCCUGGAGUCUGCUGAACUCAGAGUGGAGGCCUGUUUCUUUCCAGGAGAAAUCCUGAGAGAUCUUAAAAUUGUGUUGAUCUCAAGCUCCUCAAAGCCUGGAUCUACCCCUGGUUUUCUGCACUUUCCAUUACUGGCUGGUGAGAGGUGACAGUUCCAGGUGACCCCUUGGCUGCAACCGCCUGCUCACCUCUCCACAUCCUGUUAGCCCUUGGUCAUCUUCCAAAACUCAACUGUGACAUCUUUUCUCCAGAAAGCAUACUCGAAAAUCCAAUGUGAAGUAAUCCUCUUUUAUGCUCCAUCACAUCCUGUGCAAACCUCUAUAUAUUGAAAUUUUAUUGACAGUUUUGUGUCUCUAUUUCACUAGGCUAUAAAGUUUUUUGAGAAAAAGACUAUUUUGUAUUCAUCUUAGUACCCUCGACAUGAAGCCCAGUGCCUUCCAUUUGGUAAAUGAUUUAAAAUGCUCAUUAAAUUGUCUUUGAGUUAAACUGAUACACUUAACAGUUUUAUGUAAGAUUUCCUUUGGCUGAAAGUUUUAGGUAAUUGGCCAGGUUAUGGAAAAAACUGCGGAAGGAUUCUUAAUUUAGAUACUUUCUGUGUCACUUAUAGGUUGGAAGCAGGUUUUAGGAGCAAAUGGUGUGUUAAGGUCCUAAGGGAUAGAUACACCAGCAGUUCAGCUUAGUUUUUAGGAUACUGGCUAGAAGUUUCUGGGAACUGCUAGCAUUGCCAGAUUUAUAGGAUUGUUGUUAUCAUGUAGUAACAUGUACUAUGAAUGCAUUUUGAUAAUUAGAAAUAUAGACACCUCUAUGUGUAAAUUAUCAGUAAUAGUUAAUGCUCAUCAGAUUAAGAAAUUCACUGCCUAUGAGGCCCUUCCAAUUCUAGAACUCACCCCUAUAAACAAAUCAGAAUAAAAAUUGUUUUAACUUUCCCAUACC